UACGAAGGGGGCUAGCGUUGUUCGGAAUUACUGGGCGUAAAGCGCACGUAGGCGGACUUGUAAGUCGGGGGUGAAAUCCUGGAGCUCAACUCCAGAACUGCCUUCGAAACUGAAAGUCUUGAGUUCGGGAGAGGUGAGUGGAACUGCGAGUGUAGAGGUGAAAUUCGUAGAUAUUCGCAAGAACACCAGUGGCGAAGGCGGCUCACUGGCCCGAUACUGACGCUGAGGUGCGAAAGCGUGGGGAGCAAACAGG
rnacentral:rRNA from 1 species